rfam:Ailuropoda melanoleuca scaffold1940_32, whole genome shotgun sequence.
GCCCGGCAGGCUCAGCUGGUAGAACAUGUGACUCUUGAUCUCGGGGUCAUGAGUUCAAGUCCCAUGUUGGGUG